GCCCGAUUGGCUCAAUGGUAGAGCGUCUCCCUCCUAUAAACCAAGGGUUCAGGAGAAGGUUGCGGGUUCGAUUCCCGUGUCAGGUU